rnacentral:rRNA from 1 species
GACGAACGCUGGCGGCGUGCUUAACACAUGCAAGUCGAACGGAAAGGCCCUGCUUUUGUGGGGUGCUCGAGCGGCGAACGGGUGAGUAACACGUGAGUAACCUGCCCUUGACUUUGGGAUAACUUCAGGAAACUGGGGCUAAUACCGGAUAGGAGCUCCUGCUGCAUGGUGGGGGUUGGAAAGUUUCGGCGGUUGGGGAUGGACUCGCGGCUUAUCAGCUUGUUGGUGGGGUAGUGGCUUACCAAGGCUUUGACGGGUAGCCGGCCUGAGAGGGUGACCGACCACAUUGGGACUGAGAUACGGCCCAGACUCCUACGGGAGGCAGCAGUGGGGAAUAUUGCACAAUGGGCGGAAGCCUGAUGCAGCAACGCCGCGUGCGGGAUGACGGCCUUCGGGUUGUAAACCGCUUUCGCCUGUGACGAAGCGUGAGUGACGGUAAUGGGUAAAGAAGCACCGGCUAACUACGUG